GUGGGGAAUCUUGCGCAAUGGGCGAAAGCCUGACGCAGCCAUGCCGCGUGAAUGAUGAAGGUCUUAGGAUUGUAAAAUUCUUUCACCGGGGACGAUAAUGACGGUACCCGGAGAAGAAGCCCCGGCUAACUUCGUGCCAGCAGCCGCGGUAAUACGAAGGGGGCUAGCGUUGCUCGGAAUUACUGGGCGUAAAGGGCGCGUAGGCGGAUCGUUAAGUCAGGGGUGAAAUCCCAGAGCGCAACUCUGGAACUGCCCUUGAUACUGGCGAGCUUGAGUGUGAGAGAGGUAUGUGGAACUCCGAGUGUAGAGGUGAAAUUCGUAGAUAUUCGGAAGAACACCAGUGGCGAAGGCGACAUACUGGCUCAUUACUGACGCUGAGGCGCGAAAGCGUGGGGAGCAAACAGGAUUAGAAACCCUGGUAGUCC
rnacentral:rRNA from 1 species